UGUAAGUCAUUAUUGACUAAGCAUAAUUUAAAACAUGGCACCACACAAAACAAUGUCUUGUAUGCCAAUUUCUGUCUCCUACCCAAUGCAGUCAAAUGUCUUUAUUUGUAUGUUGGAUAGGUGAUGGGGGAGCUUCAACGCAUUCUGGACAAAAAUAACAUCCAUUACAUUGAUGAGCUGAAGGGAAGAUGGGACGACUUCUGCCAGAAGGUGCAGUUUUUUGGUGUGUGGAAAAAGCUGCUGAAACCCUCAGUAGGAAUGGACAAAGGCUCUCAGUAUCCUACGUGUGCUGCCUUCAUUGUUCCCCUCUUCAUCUGCUCCUCUGAAGAAGUUAGGACAUGUGAGUGAGGCUCUUGUGCAUGUCCUCGAGGAAAAAGAAGACCCCAAUGACUAUCUGAAGAAACGUCGUCUCUCCUGCCCAGUCCUUAUUGUGAGUUUGUCCAACUGCCUCCUGGCUGUAGGAGAUGUGCUGAUAACUACGCUCCCAAAAGACAAGGUAACACAGGGUGUUUUAUACCUUACGGCCUACUAUUAUGCUCUACACCUUACUUACCCCAGGUGCGUAGCCACUCUGCUCUCUGUCAUAAAAACGGAGGUUCUCUUGGACACAAUCCAUGAGCGAGACCUCACACCAUCUUUCAAGAAGGGCAUGGCUGACUGGAAUGCCUUUGUUGGCAAGUAAAGCCGUUUCCAUUCUUAUUUAGCAAAUGUUUCCCAAUGUUAAGGUCGCAAUAAUAACAAUGUUGUUGAUCUAUUGAGGGACACAGUGGUCAAAUAUUUAUGUUAAUGUUAGCCCAAGACCCAUAACUUGUUGCAAUAAUAAGCACAUUGUAAGUGUAUUGAGGAGACAGAGGUCAGAUGAUUAUGUCUGACUGUAAUCCAUGUGUUACACAUAUAUGUCAUGUUUUGCUAUGUUUUUUUACUAUUAUUAGUAUUUUAUUACAGUGCCAUACACACUGCGCCAAAACAUGACUGGUGCUGCAGGCACAGUGUAACUGACUAACUGCACUGUAUUGUAAGAAUUGUUUGCUCCCUCCUGCAUUUCAGAGCUAAAGAGGCAUGCUCUUUCUUAUGCAAAUAAAAUAUUUGUUUGUUUAAUGCA